rnacentral:tRNA from 1 species
GGUGCAUUAGCUCAGUGGUUAGAGUUUAGAUAUUGUGACUGGCAGGUCCCGGGAUCGAAUCCCGUCAGAGCCA